UGCGUAGGCGGGUUGGUAAGUCCGUGGUGAAAUCCCCAAGCUUAACUUGGGAACUGCCGUGGAUACUAUCAAUCUUGAAUAUCGUGGAGGUAAGCGGAAUAUGUCAUGUAGCGGUGAAAUGCUUAGAUAUGACAUAGAACACCAAUUGCGUAGGCAGCUUACUACACGAUCAUUGACGCUGAGGCACGAAAGCGUGGGGAGCAAACAGGAUUAGAUACCCUGGUAGUCCACGCCCCAAACGAUGGAUACUCGACAUCAGCGAUACACUGUUGGUGUCUGAGCGAAAGCAUUAAGUAUCCCACCUGGGAAGUACGAUCGCAAGAUUGAA
rnacentral:rRNA from 1 species